rnacentral:rRNA from 1 species
AUUGAACGCUGGCGGCAGGCCUAACACAUGCAAGUCGAACGGUAACAGGAAGAAGCUUGCUUCUUUGCUGACGAGUGGCGGACGGGUGAGUAAUGUCUGGGAAACUGCCUGAUGGAGGGGGAUAACUACUGGAAACGGUAGCUAAUACCGCAUAACGUCGCAAGACCAAAGAGGGGGACCGUCGGGCCUCUUGCCAUCGGAUGUGCCCAGAUGGGAUUAGCUAGUAGGUGGGGUAACGGCUAACCUAGGCGACGAUCCCUAGCUGGUCUGAGAGGAUGACCAGCCACACUGGAACUGAGACACGGUCCAGACUCCUACGGGAGGCAGCAGUGGGGAAUAUUGCACAAUGGGCGCAAGCCUGAUGCAGCCAUGCCGCGUGUAUGAAGAAGGCCUUCGGGUUGUAAAGUACUUUCAGCGGGGAGGAAGGGAGUAAAGUUAAUACCUUUGCUCAUUGACGUUACCCGCAGAAGAAGCACCGGCUAACUCCGUG